AAUCCUCUAGUGCAUAGGUAUUAUACCAUGUUGUAAAAAUGUUUUUCCCAGGGGGAGGCUCAUCUGUUGAACUUUGGGUGUGCUGCUGAUCCCUGUGAUUUCCCCAAAUGUGGGGAACUCAACUGCGUAAUUUGUGUUAAUGGGGGCAUUAUGUUUGUGAUUUCUCUG
rnacentral:snRNA from 1 species